rnacentral:rRNA from 1 species
CAGCUCGUGUCGUGAGAUGUGGUAGUCCGCAACGAGCGCAACCCCUAUUGUUAGUUGCCAUCAUUCAGUUGGGCACUCUAGCGAGACUGCCGGUAAUAAACCGGAAGGAAGGUGGGGAGUGACGUCAAAUCAUCAUGCCCCUUAUGACCUGGGCUACACACGUGCUACAAUGGUUGGUACAACGAGUUGCGAGUCGGUGACGGCGAGCUAAUCUCUUAAAGCCAAUCUCAGUUCGGAUUGUAGGCUGCAACUCGCCUACAUGAAGUCGGAAUCGCUAGUAAUCGCGGAUCAGCACGCCGCGGUGAAUACGUUCCCGGGCCUU